GACGAACGCUGGCGGCGUGCCUAAUACAUGCAAGUCGAACGCAUUUUCUUUCACCGUAGCUUGCUACACCGAAAGGAAAUGAGUGGCGAACGGGUGAGUAACACGUGGGUAACCUGCCCAUCAGCGGGGGAUAACACUUGGAAACAGGUGCUAAUACCGCAUAAUUCCAUUUACCGCAUGGUAGAUGGGUGAAAGGCGCUUUUGCGUCACUGAUGGAUGGACCCGCGGUGCAUUAGCUAGUUGGUGGGGUAACGGCCUACCAAGGCUGCGAUGCAUAGCCGACCUGAGAGGGUGAUCGGCCACACUGGGACUGAGACACGGCCCAGACUCCUACGGGAGGCAGCAGUAGGGAAUCUUCGGCAAUGGACGCAAGUCUGACCGAGCAACGCCGCGUGAGUGAAGAAGGUUUUCGGAUCGUAAAACUCUGUUGUUAGAGAAGAACAAGGAUGAGAGUGGAAAGUUCAUCCCUUGACGGUAUCUAACCAGAAAGCCACGGCUAACUACGUG
rnacentral:rRNA from 1 species